CGUUAGAUUUGGCAGAAAAUUUAUUAGGGAUAAGCUUAAUAUCUUAUAUUUAUAUAGUAAUAGGAGUAGGAUUAGUAAAGGAUUAAUAGUGUCUUUAUGUUUUGUAACUGAUUGUUUAUGUUUUUAUUAAUUAGCUAUAUGAGGGUAUCUUGAGAUUUUUUUUGUUAGUAAUAAUGGUAGAAUUAGUAGAUUAAUUUUUAGUGAGUAAUUUAGGUGUUUUAUUUAAAGUACUUUAAUUUGUAAAUAUUGGUAAGGAACUCGGCAAACAUCUUUCUUAACUGUUUAUCAAAAACAUCUCUUUAAGGAAGGAUUUAAAGUAUAUUCUGCCCCCUGAUUUGGAUAAUUAAAGGGCCGCAGUAGCCUGACUGUGCUAAGGUAGCAUAAUCAUUAGGUUCUUAAUUAGGAUCUGGAAUGAAUGAGUGAAUAAGGAGGAGCUGUCUAUCAGUAGAGUUUGAAAUUAAAUUUUUAGUAAGAAUGCUAGAAUNGAGCUAGUGGGACGAUAAGACCCUAUAAAGCUUUACUAACCUUUAGUAAAAAUUUUUACUACUUUUAUGAUGAGGUAUAGUUCUACUGGGGCGGUAGCUAUUUAACUUAGUUAGUUUUAUUUUCUCUAUGGAUCCAUCUUUGGUGAAUUAAGAUUAAGUUACUUUAGGGAUAACAGCAUAAUAUAUCUAUGGAGUUCUAAUCGAAGGAUAUGGUUGUGACCUCGAUGUUGAAUUAACCUUAUUGUAAGGUGAAGAAGCUUUACGAGUUAGUCUGUUCGACUAUUAAAGGGUUACGUGAUUUGAGUUCAAACCGGUUUAAGCCAGGUUGGUUUCUAUCUACUGGAUUUAAAAAAUUUCUUAGUACGAAAGGACCAGAGAUUUUAGAUUUUCUAUUUAAUAUCGUUUUGGCCUCUUUAGGUCUUU
rnacentral:rRNA from 1 species